rnacentral:rRNA from 1 species
CCAGCAGCCGCGGUAAUACGAAGGGGGCUAGCGUUGCUCGGAAUCACUGGGCGUAAAGCGCACGUAGGCGGAUUGCUAAGUCAGGGGUGAAAUCCUGGAGCUCAACUCCAGAACUGCCUUUGAUACUGGCAAUCUCGAGUCCGGGAGAGGUGAGUGGAACUGCGAGUGUAGAGGUGAAAUUCGUAGAUAUUCGCAAGAACACCAGUGGCGAAGGCGGCGCUCUGGACCGAGACUGACGCUGAGGCGCGAAAGCGUGGGGAGCAAACAGGAUUAGAUACCCUGGUA